GAUGAAGAACGUAGCGAAAUGCGAUAAGUAAUGUGAAUUGCAGAAUUCAGUGAAUCAUCGAAUCUUUGAACGCACCUUGCGCUCCUUGGUAUUCCGAGGAGCAUGCCUGUUUGAGUGUCAUUAAAUUCUCAACCAUUAUCAACUUUUGCUGAUAAUGGCUUGGAUGUGGGGGUCUAUUUUGCUGGCUUCUCAGAUAGUCAGCUCCCCUUAAAUGCAUUAGCCGGUGCCCCGCGUGGACUGUCUAUUGGUGUGAUAAUUAUCUACGCUAUAGACAUCUGCAAUCAUAUGGGUUUGCGCUGCUUCUAACAGUCUGUUGAUUCAGACAAUACAUGACAAUUUGACCUCAAAUCAGGAAGGACUACCCGCUGAACUUAAGCAUAUCAAUAAGCGGAGGA
rnacentral:misc_RNA from 1 species